GAGAGGGAGCCUGAGAAACGGCUACCACAUCCAAGGAAGGCAGCAGGCGCGCAAAUUACCCAAUCCCGACACGGGGAGGUAGUGACAAUAAAUAACAACACAGGGCUCUUUCGGGUCUUGUUAUUGGAAUGAGUACAAUUUAAAUCUCCUAACGAGGAACAAUUGGAGGGCAAGUCGGGGGCCACCACCCGCGGUAAUUCCACCUCCAAUAGCGUAUAUUAAAGUUGUUGCAGUUAAAAAGCUCGUAGUUGAACUUCAGGCCGGGCGGGAGGGCCCCCCUUCGGGGUGAGUACUGUCUGUGGUCGGGUCCUACCUUCGGGCGAAGCGUCAGGGCCUUAACCGGCCGGGGCGGGGAGCCAGGACUUUUACUGUGAAAAAAUUAGAGUGUUCAAAGCAGGCACGCGCUUGAAUACAUUAGCAUGAAAUAAUGGAAUAGGACAGUGGUUCUAUUUGUUGGUUUCUAGGACCGUUGUAAUGAUUAAUAGGGAUAGUUGGGGGCAUUAGUAUUCAAUUGUCAGAGGUGAAAUUCUUGGAUUUAUUGAAGACUAACUACUGCGAAAGCAUUUGCCAAGGAUGUUUUCAUUAAUCAAGAACGAAAGUUAGGGGAUCGAAGACGAUCAGAUACCGUCGUAGUCUUAACCAUAAACUAUGCCGACUAGGAAUC
rnacentral:rRNA from 1 species